GACGAACGCUGGCGGCGUGCCUAAUACAUGCAAGUCGAACGCAGUGGGGACGGGUGAGUAACACGUGGGUAACCUCCCAUCAGAGGGGAUAACACUUGGAAACAGGUGCUAAACCGAUACUGAUUGAUGGACCAGCAGUGCAUUAGCUAGUGGGUGAGGUAACGGCUCACCACGACCACGAUGCAUAGCCGACCUGAGAGGGUGAAAGGCCACACUGGGACUGAGACACGGCCCAGAAUCCUACGGGAGGCAGCAGUAGGGAAUAUUCGACAAUGGACGAAAGUCUGACAGAGCAAUGCCGCGUGAGUGAAGAAGGGUUUCGGAUCGUAAAGCGCUGUUGUUAGGGAGGCGGUAUCUAACCAGAAAGCACCGGCUAACUACGUGCCAGCAGCCGCGGUAAUUC
rnacentral:rRNA from 1 species